ACCUGGAGAGUGUGUUAACAUGCAGAUUCUGGGUGGGCUGAGAUUCUGCUUUUCUAAUAAGCAACCAGGUAAUGCUGAUGCUUCUGGUAUGUGGAGCACACUUUGAGCAGAAGGACAGUGGAGAUAAGAAGGAAAACCUGGAGGAAGCCCUGCCCUUAAAGAACUCCCUGCCAGGUAAGGAAAUAAAACCAGAGGGUCAGAGAACUUUGUAGAGCUUCAGGGGUUAACAGAGGCCUGUAGCAUGGCUGGUGUCUGAUGUUGUUGAAUGAACAAAUGAUAAUAAGAAAGGCAUACGCAGCUGUGAUUCAGUGAGGGUGCACUGGACAGAGCUAAGUCCAAGGAGCUCAGAAAUGAUUACCGACUAGCAUCCUCUGAAGCGCUAAGUGAAGGGGAACUCACAAGUAAGUCUUUUAACCUGCCAUCUAGGGCAGUGACUUUCAAACUCUUUUUUUUGACCUGGGCCCACAGUAACAUAACAAGGAAUGAAUGUUACAUUGUGAUCUGUACACUCUGUGUGUGUCUGUGUGUGUGUGUGUGUGUGUGUGUUUAGAGGUAGGUAUAUAUACAUGUAUAUACAUAUCUACUGCUGAAGCAAAAUGUUCUGGAAAUAAUAUUUAAAUUGUAUUAAAACGUAAUUUUUUUUAACAUCCCCUAGACAGAAAUACAUAAGGAAGCAUACUGAUGUCCAGUAAGCUCUGGGGCGUGGCAGGGGUCACAUGACCUGGCUGCAGAUGUGGAAGGAUGCAAAGCCACUGCCCUCCAGGAUUUCUUGCUGGUGCUCCCCUCUGGCCAAUCACAAGCCGGGGCAAGGGAGCCGCAGUGAUAGAGCACAUAAAGGAUGAUAGCUCCGGUCCCUUGCAGGAUGAUGCAGCUGCUUGUGAAUGUCCUCCAGGGAGCCCAGCCCCACCUCUGCUCAGUGAAAAUCAUGGGCUACUACAGGCUAAUGGGAGGGGGACUGCAGAGGGCAGCCACCCUGGAGAGCAGAGCCCUCAGAUGGAGACAGCUGGCUUCCGUCUCUGAGCAGGUGAGGGAGUUGCUCCUGCAGCGUUGGUGAGAUGG
rnacentral:lncRNA from 1 species